rnacentral:lncRNA from 10 species
ACGAUUUAAGAGGUAAUUGCAAUACUAACAAAAAACAGCAAACAUAAAAUAGAACUUUUAUAAGUGCUUUAAGCCAUUGACUACACAUACAUAGGUACCUCAUACCUAUACCUAUAAUAAGAAUACCUUAGGAUACAGGUACUUAUGAUACAGGUAUUCUUAUUGUCUUUUGUAGAUCAGAAGUGUGAGCUAAAGGGAAGUUAGGUAACCUGCUCAUGAUCACACAGUUAGAGUGCCUUCAGAAAUCUUACUUUUAACAAUUACGUUAUACUGCAGUAGUCCAGGUGGGAAAAUAGGAGGGCCUGAACUAAGCUGAAGCAUUAUAAGAACAUGCUUUUUAUGUGAAUGCACAUUUUGGACUUGCUAUCUCUGUGCCUAUGAUAUCGUUUGUACCUCCAGAACAGGCACUCUGAAUUGUAUAAAUUAUUGUUAUCUUUAUAGUGUUUUAACACAGCCUUCUUUAGUGCUUGGCAAACAGCUCAUGCACAUUUAGCAAGUGCACCAGGGUGAUGGGAGUCAGAGGCAUCAGUAGAUUCUGUCUACAAUUUGAAGUAUACGACUCCACUGCAACAUGAGACUCCAGGUUAUGCAUAUGGACAUCUUGCUUGACCUCCAAGGUCCAGUCAGCUGAUGAGACAACUGCUAUAAGAAUUAUUUGCAAUCUCUGCCCAUCCACAAACUCUCCACCAUGACUACUGCACUUAGAGCACUCUGCAGUAUUUUCCAGAUGUCUGUUAUCUGUCCUGUCACACCUAGCAAGCGAUCUGGGAAAACAGGGAGCAUCUAUGAUUUUAACGAAGUAUUAACUACACACAAGGCAAUAUGCAAUAAAGAAAAUAAAAUGUCUUGAAGGAUUGUGAACAUAUGGGA